AGCGAACGCUGGCGGCAUGCCUAACACAUGCAAGUCUGACGGGCUGGCUUUCGGGCUGGUCAGUGGCGGACGGGUGAGGAACGCGUAGGAACGUAUCUUGGGGUGGGGGAUAACCGCGGGAAACUGCGGCUAAUACCGCAUGGGGCCUGAGGGCCAAAGCUGAGAAGCGCCUUGGGAGCGGCCUGCGUCCGAUUAGCUAGUUGGUGGGGUGAUGGCUUACCAAGGCGACGAUCGGUAGCUGGUCUGAGAGGAUGAUCAGCCACACUGGGACUGAGACACGGCCCAGACUCCUACGGGAGGCAGCAGUGGGGAGUAUUGGACAAUGGGGGCAACCCUGAUCCAGCAAUGCCGCGUGGGUGAAGAAGGUCUUCGGAUUGUAAAGCCCUUUCGGCGGGGACGAUGAUGACGGUACCCGCAGAAGAAGCCCCGGCUAACUUCGUGCCAGCCGCCGCCGUAAGAC
rnacentral:rRNA from 1 species